UUUAAUAACAAAAUUUUAAAAUAUAAAUAAAAAAUUAAGAAAAGAAUUUUAUUAUUUUAAAAACACACAAGUUUUUUAAACUUUUUUCUUUUAGAGUUUUUCUUUUUUCUUUUUUCUUUAGAUUUUCUAACAGUUAGUUUAUGUGUUUGGAGAUUUUCUAAGGAAGCUGUAGUAUUUUAUAAGCUAUCGUUGCAUUUUAUAGAAAGUAAUAGUAUUUUAUAUGUUGUCGUCCUAUUUUAAAGCAUGCCGUUAUAUUUUUAUAUGAUACUAUGGUGUUACAUAUGUGGCUGUAGUAUUUUUAUAUGAUGUUGUGGUAUUUUAUAGGAAGUCGUAUACGAUGUUUAUGUGUUGUAUAUGAAGUCAUAAUAUUUUAUAUAUUAUCGUAGUGUUUUAUAGGAAGUUGUAGAAUUUUUAUAUGAUGUUUUUGCGUUGUAUAUGAAGUCGUAAUAUUUUAUAUGGUAUUGUGGUGUUUAGGGAUGAUCAAAAAAAUUCGUGCCCGCGGAUACCGCAGAUAAAAUCCGCGACGGAUAGUUGAUACCUGUGGAUAUUUACUAUCCGAAACCCGCAGAUAGUGGAUAUUUUAAUACCUGCUUAUAAACGGGUUGAGUACGGAUAUUAU
rnacentral:lncRNA from 1 species